rnacentral:rRNA from 1 species
AGAGUUUGAUCAUGGCUCAGGACGAACGCUGGCGGCGUGCCUAAUGCAUGCAAGUCGUGCGCUCUUCUUCGGAAGGGAGCGGCGGACGGCUGAGUAGCGCGUGGGUUAUCUGCCCUCACGUGGGGGAUAACGCUCCGAAAGGAGUGCUAAUCCCGCAUAGCCCUGUUCGCAGGGAAAGCCGUAAGGCGCGUGUGGAGGAGCCCGCGUCCCAUUAGCUGGUUGGCGGGGUAAUGGCCCACCAAGGCUCUGAUGGGUGGCUGGUCUGAGAGGACGACCAGCCAGACUGGGACUGAGACACGGCCCAGACUCCUACGGGAGGCAGCAGCAAGGAAUUUUCCGCAAUGGGGGCAACCCUGACGGAGCAACGCCGCGUGGAGGAUGACGGCUUUCGGGUUGUAAACUCCUUUUGCGAGGGAUGAUUGUGACAGUACCUCGCGAACAAGCCCCGGCUAACUACGUGCCAGCAGCCGCGGUAAUACGAAGGGGGCGAGCGUUGUCCGGAAUCACUGGGCGUAAAGGGCGCGUAGGCGGCUCCAUAAGCGGGCGGUGAAAGCCCGGGGCUCAACCCCGGGUCGGCCGUGCGGACUGUGGGGCUGGAGCACUGUAGAGGCGGGUGGAAUUCCGGGUGUAGCGGUGGAAUGCGUAGAGAUCCGGAAGAACACCGGUGGCGAAGGCGGCCCGCUGGGCAGUGGCUGACGCUGAGGCGCGACAGCGUGGGGAGCAAACAGGAUUAGAUACCCCAGUAGUCC